rnacentral:tRNA from 1 species
GGGCCCAUAGCUUAGACUGGUGGAGCACCCGGCUGAUAACCGGGAGGUCAAGAGUUCGAAUCUCUUUGGGCCCA